UACGAAGGGGGCGAGCGUUGUUCGGAAUUACUGGGCGUAAAGGGCGCGCAGGCGGCCCUUGAAGUCAGGCGUGAAAGCCCCGGGCUCAACCUGGGAGGUGCGCUUGAUACUCGAGGGCUUGAGUGCGGGAGAGGAGAGUGGAAUUCCCAGUGUAGAGGUGAAAUUCGUAGAUAUCAGGAGGAACACCGGUGGCGAAGGCGGCUAUCUGGACAGAGUCUGACGCUGAGGCGCGAAAGCUAGGGGAGCAAACAGG
rnacentral:rRNA from 1 species